AAACAGGCGACUUGCGAACCGGGGCGCCUCAUGCAACCCAUAAUCCCACUUCAGGAAUAUACUAAAUGCGCAUUCGCAAACGCACGUUUCUGAGGCGCUGGAGAUGGGACUUGCCGUGACAGAACCAGGAGAACCAGAUCAAUGGUGCAGGUAUGUGCGAGUGUGAAAUGGAUCAAACUUGCAAAUAUAGUAUCUUAAGAUAGGUUCUCCCACCUUAAGGCUUGAUCCUUUGGUGUAAUGAUAGACUACCCACAGUGAGGAAACGGCCAAUCGUUUAUUUAGUUGGCCUUGACCCUGAUGUGUCGCCUAACGAGCAACAGCAGCCGUUGGGGCGGCGAGCGUUACAGAGAGUUUACCCCAUAGUAUAAAAUAGAUC
rnacentral:sRNA from 1 species